rnacentral:rRNA from 1 species
UACGUACGAGGCGAGCGUUAUCCGGAAUUAUUGGGCGUAAAGCGCGCGCAGGCGGUUUGUUAAGUGAGAUGUGAAAUCUCCCGGCCUAACUGGGAGGGGUCGUUUCAGACUGGGAGACUUGAGGACGGCAGAGGUUGGUGGAAUUCCUGGUGUAGUGGUGAAAUGCGCAGAUAUCAGGAGGAACACCGGUGGCGAAGGCGGGUCUCUGGGCCGAUACUGACGCUGAGGAGCGAAAGCGUGGGGAGCAAACAGG